rnacentral:rRNA from 1 species
AGUGAACGCUGGCGGUAGGCCUAACACAUGCAAGUCGAACGGCAGCACAGUAAGAGCUUGCUCUUACGGGUGGCGAGUGGCGGACGGGUGAGGAAUACAUCGGAAUCUACUUUUUCGUGGGGGGUAACGUAGGGAAACUUACGCUAAUACCGCAUACGACCUACGGGUGAAAGCAGGGGAUCUUCGGACCUUGCGCGAUUGAAUGAGCCGAUGUCGGAUUAGCUAGUUGGCGGGGUAAAGGCCCACCAAGGCGACGAUCCGUAGCUGGUCUGAGAGGAUGAUCAGCCACACUGGAACUGAGACACGGUCCAGACUCCUACGGGAGGCAGCAGUGGGGAAUAUUGGACAAUGGGCGCAAGCCUGAUCCAGCCAUACCGCGUGGGUGAAGAAGGCCUUCGGGUUGUAAAGCCCUUUUGUUGGGAAAGAAAAGCAGCAGGUUAAUACCCCGCUGUUCUGACGGUACCCAAAGGAUAAGCACCGGCUAACUUCGUG